rnacentral:rRNA from 1 species
AUGGCACUGCCCGGUAGCUAAAUGCGGAAGAGAUAAGUGCUGAAAGCAUCUAAGCACGAAACUUGCCCCGAGAUGAGUUCUCCCUGACUCCUUGAGAGUCCUGAAGGAACGUUGAAGACGACGACGUUGAUAGGCCGGAUGUGUAAGCGCAGCGAUGCGUUGAGCUAACCGGUACUAAUGAACCGUGAGGCUUAACCUUACAACGCCGAAGGUGUUU